rnacentral:misc_RNA from 1 species
AAAGUCGUAACAAGGUUUCCGUAGGUGAACCUGCGGAAGGAUCAUUACAAAUCAGUUGGUGGUGGGGGGUGUUGUUGAGUGGUAAAGCACGAAGCACCGCCUCUCUCUGCAUCACAACAUUUGCGCUUGACGUGUUUGACAGAGUAACUUAUCACUAAUAUUGACAACUUUUAACAACGGAUCUCUGGGCUCUU